rnacentral:rRNA from 1 species
GAUGAACGCUGGCGGCGUGCCUAAUACAUGCAAGUCGAGCGAAUGCUUUAAGAGCUUGCUCUUAUGAAGUUAGCGGCGGACGGGUGAUUAACACGUGGUUAACCUGCCCAUACGACUGGGAUACCUCCGCGAAACCGGGGCUACUACCGGAUAACAUUUUGAACCUCGUUGUUCGAGAUUUAAAUUCGGCUGUUGCUGUCACUUAUGGAUGGCCCCGCGUCGCAUUAUCGCGGUUGUGAGGUAAGGGCGCACCAAGGCAACGCUGCGUAGCCGCCCUGACAGGCGAAGAUGCCAAGCUGGGACUGGGACACGACCCAGCACACUACGGGAGGCAGACGUAGGGGAUCUUCAGGAAUGGAAGAAAGGCUGAAGAAGCAACGCUGCGUGAGUGAUGAAGGCUGUCGGGUCGCAAAACUCUGUUGUUAGGGAAGAACAAGAGGUAGUUGAAUACGCGGGCAUAUUGACGGUACCGAGACAGAAAGCCACGGCUAACUACGUG